rnacentral:tRNA from 1 species
GCGCCCGUAGCUCAAUUGGAUAGAGCGUCAGACUACGGAUUUGAAGGUUGGGAGUUCGAAUCUUCUCGGGCGUG